rnacentral:rRNA from 1 species
UGGGGAAUUUUGGACAAUGGGCGAAAGCCUGAUCCAGCAAUGCCGCGUGUGUGAAGAAGGCCUUCGGGUUGUAAAGCACUUUUGUCCGGAAAGAAAUCCUUGGCUCUAAUACAGUCGGGGGAUGACGGUACCGGAAGAAUAAGCACCGGCUAACUACGUGCCAGCAGCCGCGGUAAUACGUAGGGUGCAAGCGUUAAUCGGAAUUACUGGGCGUAAAGCGUGCGCAGGCGGUUUGCUAAGACCGAUGUGAAAUCCCCGGGCUCAACCUGGGAACUGCAUUGGGUGACUGGCAGGCUAGAGUAUGGCAGAGGGGGGUAGAAUUCCACGUGUAGCAGUGAAAUGCGUAGAGAUGUGGAGGAAUACCGAUGGCGAAGGCAGCCCCCUGGGCCAAUACUGACGCUCAUGCACGAAAGCGUGGGGAGCAAACAGGAUUAGAUACCCUGGUAGUCCACGCCCUAAACGAUGUCAACUAGUUGUUGGGGAUUCAUUUCCUUAGUAACGUAGCUAACGCGUGAAGUUGACCGCCUGGGGAGUACGGUCGCAAGAUUAAAACUCAAAGGAAUUGACGGGGUCAUAGCUGUUUCCU